AUCCUUGCGCUAGGGCAAUAUUCUUUUAAUGACUGCAAAGGAAGAGGAAUGAUUGCUAGUUUAAAACUAAAUCCAAGCGCCGAGAAACAGUGACUUGCUGUUUCUCAAUUUUUGAACUCGAAUUUAUUUG
rnacentral:snRNA from 20 species